rnacentral:rRNA from 1 species
AACGAACGCUGGCGGCAUGCCUAACACAUGCAAGUCGAACGAGACCUCCGGGUCUAGUGGCGCACGGGUGCGUAACGCGUGGGAACCUGCCCUUAGGUUCGGAAUAACUCCCCGAAAGGGGUGCUAAUACCGGAUAAUGUCUUCGGACCAAAGAUUUAUCGCCUUUGGAUGGGCCCGCGUUGGAUUCGCUAGUUGGUAGGGUAAAAGCCUACCAAGGCGACGAUCCAUAGCUGGUCUGAGAGGAUGAUCAGCCACACUGGGACUGAGACACGGCCCAGACUCCUACGGGAGGCAGCAGUGGGGAAUAUUGGACAAUGGGCGAAAGCCUGAUCCAGCAAUGCCGCGUGAGUGAUGAAGGCCUUAGGGUUGUAAAGCUCUUUUACCCGGGAUGAUAAUGACAGUACCGGGAGAAUAAGCUCCGGCUAACUCCGUG